rnacentral:misc_RNA from 1 species
GAUGAAGAACGUAGCGAAAUGCGAUACUUGGUGUGAAUUGCAGAAUCCCGUGAACCAUCGAGUCUUUGAACGCAAGUUGCGCCCGAAGCCAUCAGGUUGAGGUCACGUCUGCAUGGGCGUCACAUAUCGUUACCCAAUGCCUAUUGCAGUGCAAUAGGAAUUUCUAGGGCGAAUGAUGGCUUCCCGUGAGCGUUGUUGCCUCGCGGUUGGUUGAAAAUCGAGUCCUUGGUAGGGUGUGCCAUGGUAGAUGGUGGUCGAGUUAGAACGAUACCGAUCAUGUGCAUGCUCCCCAAAAUAUGGCCUCUAUGACCCACACGCGUCUUUUGACGCUCAUGACGAGACCUCAGGUCAGGCGGGGCUACCCGCUGAAUUUAAGCAUAUCAAUAAGCGGAGGA